GCCUAACACAUGUCUGCUUAUUCUUGUUGCAGGGGUGGUUUCAUGUCAUUUUCCAUAACCCCAAUUCCAGAGCUAAGGUCUGGUCUGUCAUUGCAGAGGAUCACAAACCAGGCCCUGCCCAGUGAAAGCCAAGAAUGAUACCACUACUGUUGUGGAUGCUUCCUGAAGCCACUGGAAUCCUCCAUGGCGGUUGAGAACUCAACAGGGAGAUUUGCUGUGUCACCUCACAGAGCGACUUGUGAAGGGAUAACAACUGAAGUGAACAGUGGAGAUUUACACCAUCCUACCACAAGGCUUCACUUUCACUUUCACCACAAGGGUGGCAAGUGUUCAAAGGUGAAGAGGCAUUUAUGGCGACACUAACAGCCAGUUUUUCUUCACAUUCAAGGUUAUAGAUUUUUUAAAAGGAUCCAUCCCAGAAUCCCACACUGAACUUAUUCAUCCAGAAUCUUGGAUUCUGAACCGCAGAUUCAACCAACUACGGACAGUCAAAGUCAAGAAAUGGGAAGCUCUUCAGUUAUAUGCUCAAUGAAAACUUCAUGCCACUGGCACACAAGCUUUCCCUCCAAGUCGAGCUGAUCCUGGCACGGAACCUGGCUUCAUGAGACACAAAUGCCAGUUUUCUUUCCAGAGCUGAUGCCUUGAGGGUACCCGGAUUUUCACUGGAAGAGAGUACCAUAGCCCAAAAAAGCAAGGAGCCAUCAGGUUGCCAGAAAAUGCAUGGCACUCUGUGCCAGGCCCGAAGCCGCAGCCACCACAGGACGGGAGGAGAACUCCACUCAUGUCAGAUGGAUAAGCCCAGAAGAGUGGAGCAC